rnacentral:lncRNA from 1 species
UAGCGACCAGUGGUUCUGGGUAGUCUAAGCGCACCUGCUGAUGAUGGAAUGGUGUGAGACUUCCUUCUUUAGGCAGAGUACCCGCUCGACGAUUCUCGGCAAGCAUAAGCUGCAAUCGGUACGGCCGAGUCUCCGAGCUGGUGCCGUUUUUGACUCAGUUACGCCGAAGAUGGAGUCGCUAAAGCGUGGGCGCACGAAAUAUAUUACAAUAAUCACGUCCUGUGGUUUGCUCCAACUGUUGAUCAUGUUCCUCCAACCUCAUACAGCCACCGGCGCCGUGGUUGUGGUACCGCAAUCAAUGCCAUA